rnacentral:rRNA from 1 species
GAUGAACGCUGGCGGCGUGCCUAAUACAUGCAAGUCGAGCGAACGGACGAGACUCUUUCUUCUCUUCUGUUAGCGGCGGACGGGUGAUUAAUACGUGGAUAACCUACCUAUAAGACUGAGAUAACUUCGGGAAACCUGAGCUAAUACCGGAUAAUAUUUUGAACCGCAUGGUUCAUAAGUACAAGACGUUCUUGCUGUCCCUUAUUGAUGUAUCCGCGCUGCAUUAGCUAGUUGGUAAGGUAACGGCUUACCAAGGCAACGAUGCAUAGCCGACCUGAGAGGGUGAUCGGCCACACUGGAACUGAGACACGGUCCAGACUCCUACGGGAGGCAGCAGUAGGGAAUCUUCCGCAAUGGGCGAAAGCCUGACGGAGCAACGCCGCGUGAGUGAUGAAGGUCUUCGGAUCGUAAAACUCUGUUAUUAGGGAAGAACAGAUGUGUAAGUAACUGUGCACAUCUUGACGGUACCUAAUCAGAAAGCCACGGCUAACUACGUG